CCAAGGAGGGUUAGUUCGGGUCUGUUCGUUUCACUAACUGAGGUUGUUUGGUUCAGUCGCUGAAUGCAGUGAAAAGUUUACACAGCUCAUCAGACAGUCGCUGUUUUCGUGGGCCGAGGAACAACUGAGCUGACGGAUGAGCGUACAUAGUUGUUUUUUUCCUCAGGUGUGACUGGCAAUAGGUGUAGGCAACAAAAGUGCCUGCUCCUUUGUAAACAACAGAGAUUUGAGAUGAAGAUACCGGACGUGAUUCAAGCCCUCCUCUUGGUCCAAAUCCCUGCGGCCUUCCUCUUCACUGCUGUGUUGGCUCAGUCCGACAGCAGCAGUGUGGUUGUUGCGGGCUACAAUGUGAGCGCCCCCACUGGCUCUAGGGUGGUACUGCAGUGUGCGAGCGGGCGCAUGGUGUGGACCAGGGACAGUCUGAAGGACAGACAGAGGGUGGUCCACUGGGACCUGUACCGCCCAGGGCCAGACUAUGCCAUGGAGAGGGUUGCAGACAUGUUCUCUGCUGGAGACCAGCGCAUCUAUAACGGACACAACCAGGGGAGGGUCAGCCUCAGCCAAUCAGCUUUCAACGACGGAAACUUCUCUCUCGUCAUCAGAGACAUUGCGAUAAGUGACCGAGGCCUGUACUCCUGUAACCUGCACCAUCACUACUGUCACCUGUAUGAAACGAUCAGAAUACAGGUCAACGUCACCAAGUCACGUCGUAAGGAGCAGCGCUUCUGGGACGGUCAGAAAGCUGUGUUUGUGGUGUUGGUAGGCAGCACGGUGGUGUUGCCGUGUGUGAAUCGCCGCUCUGUGUGGACAGAAGAUGGCAGUGAGGAGGAACAGCAGGUGGUGCAUUGGGACCGGCAGCCUCCGGGUGUUCGUCACGACCGUGCAGACCGUCUGAUAGACCUGUAUGCCUCUGGGGAGCAGCGCAGCUACGGACCCCUGUUCCUACAGAGGAAGAUGAACAUUAGCGCUGAGUCCUUCACACAGGGAGACUUCUCUCUGGCUAUCUCUGCCCUGCAGCCAGGAGAUCAGGGUCUGUACACCUGUCACCUACAUCAUCACUACUGUGGUCUUCAUGAGAGAAGACAGUUUCAACUCACCGUAGGCCCAGCUGAGCCUCAGGCUACUGUUGCCCCCAGAGCACUGCCCAACCAAGACAAGGAGGAUAGCAAGGCUGAGGCGCCACGUGUCAUCAACGUCAUCCUGCCCGAUCAGCGACAUCAUUUCCUGCUGCCCCUUGGCUACAUCCUGACGACGCUCCUCCUCCUGGCCUUCAUUGUGCUCAUCAUCAUCAUCGUUACCCACCGACGCAAGACCAAAGCGGUGGAGUUUUACCCACAGACAUCUAUGAGAUCCAACAGGGGUGACAUGGCCACCAAUGAGUUUGAGAUGGACGUUCCUGAAGUCAAGACGUGCAACCAGGAGGAGAAGAAACUAGGUGUGUGUGUGUGUGUGUGUGUGUGUGUGUGUGUGUGUGUGUGUGUGUGUGUGUGUGUGUGUGUGUGUGUGUGUGUGUGUGUGUGUGUAUUCACUCCACUCUCUUCUGUCUCUCAGACUACAAAAACAACCUGCUGAGGGAGAAGGUUCAAAUGUCCACCCUGCCCAAAGUCAUCGACCUGGACAAAGAGAUGGAGAAGGUGUAUUGGAAAUGAGAGGGGAGUCAGCUUGCCGCUGGCUGGUCCAGAGGUAGACGCUACAGACACAGGUUGCAUUCUAAACCAAAUCCUAGGCCCUCAGCUACUGGUGUUUCAGUGUACUGUAGGGAUGUCCACUCUACUCCACUAGACCAACCCCUAGGCCCUCAGCUACUGGUGUUUCAGUGUACUGUAGGGAUGUCCACUCUCCUCCACUAGUCCCACCUCUACAUUCCACCUCAAGUUAGACCCUUCACUCGCAUUUGAUAACCACAAUGGGAUUGUAAAUCUUACUGUAUGCUUCACAGGUGAAACAGUUUGAGCAUAUAUUAUGACAAAAUGUUGUGAUGUUUUUGUUCGUUUUGAUGUUCGGCAGGUUCAUGCACACAAAACAUUUUCUUGAGCCAAGUCAAAGUUCGGUAGUCGAAGUCUACACCCUUUUGUCGGUGAUUGGUCAACUGUACUACUCCUAGUAGGAAUGGGAAUUAUUGAAGGGAUUCUUGAAAGAAGUGUUUGUUGUCAUUUUUUCACGCAUUUUUUCACGCGACUAAGACCUCCUCGUCCAAAACGCCAAUUUAUUACAGAUUUCUGGAUUUAUCUUCAUUUAAUUCUGACUAUUUUGAGGAAGUGUAUACUGGCUAUGUUGUUGCUUCGGCGUCUCGUGUUUUUUUCUUGUUUUUCAAGCGAAGGUCUUUUAAGGGAGUCUGUGAGGCACAGACGUUUGCUUAACCUAGCCGAGUUCUGCUAGGAGCAAAGCGAACCUAGUAUGUGGGCGCCGUUAAACAGUUAAACAGCAAUACUAUUACCUUCUUAUUGUUACAAUUAUGUCAUUGGUUGCAAAAACUGCCGUUGUGGGAAGGUAUUUAUUUACAAAGAUGCACAGGGCUUAAAUGACAGGGUUACCGAAGCCCAGAGUUUUUCCCAAGUUAGGUUAGAUGGUUAGGGUAACUCCAGUCCCUAUGAGGCAGGUACCUGUGUUCUCUCAGCACCACUGAACCCUCUAGAGGGGAGUGAAGGCCAUGUCUUCUUCAGACAGCAUUACACGCUACAGAUAUAAGUUAUCCUUAGACACAGACCUAGGAUCAACGUACAAUCCCAACAUGAACCAUUAAGAGGGAACAAUGCAAAACUGGCCAUAGAUCUGUUGCCUACGGGCAACUUGAUCCUACUCCGCUUCACAUUCGCAACUACAGUAUACACAGUAGUUGUUAAUAAAAACCUAUUGUGAGUGAUCAUACUGCCAUCACAUGACUAUAUUGGUGUAUUGUACAGUCACCUUUUGACUGACUAGGUCGUCAUUGUAAAAUAUAACUAGUUUUCAAUGACUUACCUGGCUAAACAGAGAAUAAAAUAAAGUGAUACCAGUGUACUUUUCUAAUAAAUAAGCCAUUGCAUUGCACAUUAUGAACUGUUUGUAUUUGUGUACUCUGAUGCUUUAUGUUACUAUUGUAUUGUAUCGUUAAUGGACUGAAUCCCUUAUAUCCGUUAAGUUGACACUUUCCUGUAUCAUGUCUCCUUGUCUGCAUAACAAAUAGCUUAUUGGGACAAUAAAGAUCUACUCUACCCAACUCUA